UACGUAGGGGGCAAGCGUUGUCCGGAUUUAUUGGGCGUAAAGAGCGUGUAGGCGGCCCGGUAAGUCCGCUGUGAAAGUCCAGGGCUCAACCCUGGAAUGCCGGUGGAUACUGUCGGGCUAGAGUCCGGAAGGGGCGAGUGGAAUUCCUGGUGUAGCGGUGAAAUGCGCAGAUAUCGGGAGGAACACCGGUGGCGAAGGCGGUUCUCUGGGCCUUACCUGACGCUGAGGAGCGAAAGCGUGGGGAGCGAACAGG
rnacentral:rRNA from 1 species